GAUGAACGCUGGCGGCGUGCCUAAUACAUGCAAGUCGAGCGAACAGACGAGGAGCUUGCUCCUCUGAUGUUAGCGGCGGACGGGUGAGUAACACGUGGAUAACCUACCUAUAAAACUGGGAUAACUUCGGGAAACCGGAGCUAAUACCGGAUAACAUGUUGAACCGCAUGGUUCAACAGUGAAAGACGGUCUUGCUGUCACUUAUAGAUGGAUCCGCGCCGCAUUAGCUAGUUGGUAAGGUAACGGCUUACCAAGGCAACGAUGCGUAGCCGACCUGAGAGGGUGAUCGGCCACACUGGAACUGAGACACGGUCCAGACUCCUACGGGAGGCAGCAGUAGGGAAUCUUCCGCAAUGGGCGAAAGCCUGACGGAGCAACGACGCGUGAGUGAAGAAGGUCUUCGGAUCGUAAAACUCUGUUAUUAGGGAAGAACAAAUGUGUAAGUAACUAUGCACGUCUUGACGGUACCUAAUCAGAAAGCCACGGCUAACUACGUG
rnacentral:rRNA from 1 species